CUCAUGUUUAAGGAAAUGGCCUUACUCCAACCAUCUUCACCCCUCUGUAUUCCUGCCUGACAGAUUUCAUCCUUGCCCAGGCAUCUACCUGCCCAUAUCCUGGUCUGCUCAAAUGCUAACCUGUAAGCAAAACUUGUCCUGCCAGGCUUACCAGCAAUCUGUGCCUCUUUCUUAUCAGAAUCAACGGUGAAGAACUUGAGGACUGGGGAAGCAAUGGACCAUGUGAUCACUAUACACUGAGCCUAUUUGCUUGUGAAUCUGGAAUGCACAACAAAAGCAAGGGCUAACUAACCUAUUUUCUCUAAGAGGAAACUGCAGUUAAGCAACCAUCCAAUGUAACACAGUGACCUAAAGCCAGUGCUUGAGGUCAUGUUGGCUUUCUGGUACCUUUUUCAUAAGAAGAGAUUAUAUAUACUGCUCAGGUGUUAUUAGACCUACCAAAGUCCAAAACAUAACUUACUUUGCAUGGUCUUUAUCAUUAAUGCAAAGUACGAGAAGUACUGAAAAAGGAAACAUUGCAUAUAACUAUUCUUUUUCUUAAACAAUCUUUAUCAUAAUAAAUCAUUACCAAAUUAAAAAACUUAGCCCCAUGUUAAAAAUCCAGUUAAGAUAUUAAGAAACUGAGUUUUGUUUUGCUCUUUUUAUGCUAACCUCGCUGCCCUGUUACUUUAUCAAGGCAGAACAACAGGAACUACAGAAAAACAGACAGUCAUUCUUCUGGGAUUCCUUCAAGCUCUAGACAACCCCCAGCUUCAGAGCAACUGAACAAAGUAUUCCACUCUUAAUAUAAAUGUCUGAAAGUACUUGCUUUCUUUUCUUGGUCACUGACUGAGCCAGGAAGGGGGCCAUCAGGUGGAUCAGGCUGUUCUUCAGCAGGCAGAAAGGCACUUUUGUUUACAUCUGUAUCUAGGCAACCAGAAUGCAGAAUCAGAUUGCAUUGGUGGCAUUUUAAGAUUUGAAGCUAGUUUCUAAGCGAGUAUCAAAAGUUAAAGAGAGGCUUCCAACUUGCUGACACUUGCCUUUCCCCUUCCCCACCCCACUUCCUCACCUGCCAGAAUCACAUCUCUAGCUGAUGAGCAGAACAUAUUUCCACAGGUACUUCCAAAAGCAUUAGUUGAGGUUAAAUAGACCUAAAAUAUUGGGAGAUACAUCCAAUUGUGUCCAGGAGAAGAACUGAGGGUCUAUGAGAUUUUUUUUUACUUUGUUUAUAUAUAGUAAGAAAUGUAAGUGGGAAAUAUGAGACAUUUAAAGACUGAGUUGUCCAUGGGUAGAUACCUGAAGCCAUGAAGUUGAUCUCCCAGCUUUAUUAUUAUUUCUUUUUGUCGAGUUGCUUUUUAUUUUUGAAAGGGAAUAGAAAUAUGUUCUGGAGGUUGUUUAAGCUUUUUUUCUUAAGAAGCCAAAAUACUAAGGAUUUCUGACUACAUUCAAACUAAAAUCUUCAUACUUCUUUCUUGAAACAUCUUUCCAAGGGCAUUUGAGGAGCAUUGUGACUUGAAGGGAUCUGUGAUGUCAGUGGGGUCCCUCUCAUACCUCAAGUGCUGAACUCUCUAGGAUUUAUGAGGGGUUUUGGAGGGGGAUUUUCGAUUCCAAUUGCUCAUUCACUUUGUCUCAUUAAAUGAGAAGUGACCCAAUAUUUCAAAUGCUACAGGAGAUUUAGUUGAUGAAUUUGACAAGAGCAUGGUGUCCAUCAAAUUAGAGGUAGGAAAGAAGAAAAGGAAAACUAUUAGCUUUUGUCCAUGUAUGCUUGUUGAGGAAGCUAAAUCCUUGAGGCCAUUAGGGGAACACCAUGGGCAGUUGAGUGGCAAUGACAGAUGGCCUGGGUCCGGAGUUAAAUAAAUACUGGGUUUUGGUUUAGAAGAAAAUUUUAUUCAGUAAUUGCAAAAUGAAGUGAACUAUUUUAGUUUUAAAAUGUUUUUUUUCUCAGUUUUAAAAUUAGAAUUCAUAUUGUUAUUAUUUGCUUAGCUUUCAUAUAUAGAAAUGAAGCUGCUGGUUACUAUCC